UGACGGUAGUCCUUGGCUGUGUCGGCCUUUCUGUAGGUUACAGAUCCGGUGAGAGGCGACACAACACGGGCUAAAAUGCAGCAGAGCUGGACGCAGUUAUACCGCUCUCUGGCCACGAGGAGCCACCACCUUCCCUGCAAACUGCACGGAGCCUCAGUGCUGUCUGUCAGGAGCUACGCUGACAAAGCAGCAAUUGAUGCAGACGUCACGGUGGUGGGCUCAGGUCCAGGCGGCUACGUUGCUGCCAUCAAAGCGGCGCAGCUCGGCUUCAAGGUAAGCAUAUAAUAUAUAUU